UACGUAGGGUGCAAGCGUUAAUCGGAAUUACUGGGCGUAAAGCGUGCGCAGGCGGUUGUGCAAGACAGAUGUGAAAUCCCCGGGCUCAACCUGGGAACUGCAUUGGUGACUGCAAGGCUAGAGUGUGUCAGAGGGGGGUGGAAUUCCACGUGUAGCAGUGAAAUGCGUAGAGAUGUGGAGGAACACCGAUGGCGAAGGCAACCCCCUGGGAUAACACUGACGCUCAUGCACGAAAGCGUGGGGAGCAAACAGG
rnacentral:rRNA from 1 species